GACGAAGGAUGCAAGCGUUAUUCGGAUUCAUUGGGUUUAAAGGGAGCGUAGGUGGCCUUAUAAGUCAGUGGUGAAAUCUCUGGGCUUAACCCAGAAAUUGCCAUUGAUACUGUAGGGCUUGAGUAUAGUUGCCGUUGGCGGAAUAUGACAUGUAGUGGUGAAAUACAUAGAGAUGUCAUAGAACACCGAUUGCGAAGGCAGCUAACGAAACUAUAACUGACACUGAGGCUCGAAAGUGCGGGGAUCAAACAGG
rnacentral:rRNA from 1 species